rnacentral:rRNA from 1 species
CCUAACACAUGCAAGUCGAACGGUAACAGGAAACAGCUUGCUGUUUCGCUGACGAGUGGCGGACGGGUGAGUAAUGUCUGGGAAACUGCCUGAUGGAGGGGGAUAACUACUGGAAACGGUAGCUAAUACCGCAUAACGUCGCAAGACCAAAGAGGGGGACCCUCGGGCCUCUUGCCAUCGGAUGUGCCCAGAUGGGAUUAGCUUGUUGGUGGGGUAACGGCUCACCAAGGCGACGAUCCCUAGCUGGUCUGAGAGGAUGACCAGCCACACUGGAACUGAGACACGGUCCAGACUCCUACGGGA